AUCUCUUUCAGGGUCUGCUGAAGUUUAUUUUCCCUCUUGGUUUGGUUUACUUCACCAGGGACUGUUGGAGUUGCUCUACUUCACUCACUCCCGUCUCUCAAACGAACAGUAUCGCUGUGUUUGAAUGCUGUUCUGUUGGGAUUUGCUGUGUACUACCAGUUCUUGCCAAACCCAUGGCUGGUUUUUGUUAUUGUCCUCUAUGAGGGUCUGUUGGGAGAAGCAGCCACUUAAAUACCUUCUAUUUCAUCCGAGAGGAGACCGCUAAGCACAAAAGAGAGUUUGCCAUGGCUGCAGCAAGUGUAGGGGACAGUCUGGGAAUCGCUCUUUCUGCAGCUGCCGCCUUCCCCGUUCACCAUUAUUUCUGCUCUUUAUGAGCAAAUGAGUAUGUGGGUUUGUGCAUAAAGACAUUUAUAUGGUUAUGAAUUCAUACAUCCUCUAAAACCCUUAAUUUGUGUUUUUAAAUUAUCUUGAACACAUUCCAUUCGGAAUAAUAUGUUCUUAUUAAAAUGAAUGAUCUGACUGAUUUUUGACCUACAGACACCCUGCUCUAAUAAAAUCUUUAUUAACCCAUGAUUUACCCAAAACAAGAACAAAUUAUGUAUAGAUUAUGCUUUAAUUUGUACAUUUUAUAUCCUCAUUGUAACUAAAAAUCCUGGAAUUAUGUGUAAUCUUUUCUGAAAUGAUUCUCUUUUAGUAUUUAAAUAUUUUUCUUGAUGUUCUUGUGUAUGUGACUUUCAUGACUUUUCAUGAUUCCCACUAACUCGUCCCUGAAAUGUUGUUGCUUCCAUUUAUAAAGCAGUUUUGUUUCUCUUUUUGUGGCUUAAAGUUGCAUGCCCUCCCUCACCCUUGGUUUUGCAAUUGAACUUAUUUAGCAAGACUCUGUAAUAGUGUGUUGCUUUCUUAAAGGGGGGUGAAAUGCUCGUUUUCACUCAAUAUCCUGUUA